rnacentral:rRNA from 1 species
GCUGUGGAACUCCUACGGGAGGCAGCAGCGGGGAAUUUUGGACAAUGGGGGCAACCCUGAUCCAGCAAUGCCGCGUGAGUGAAGAAGGCCUUCGGGUUGUAAAGCUCUUCUGUCAGGGAAGAAACGGUAGUAGCUAAUAUCUAUUACUAAUGACGGUACCUGAAGAAUAAGCACCGGCUAACUACGUGCCAGCAGCCGCGGUAAUACGUAGGGUGCAAGCGUUAAUCGGAAUUACUGGGCGUAAAGCGUGCGCAGGCGGUUGUGUAAGUCAGAUGUGAAAUCCCCGGGCUCAACCUGGGAAUUGCAUUUGAGACUGCACGGUUAGGGUGUGUCAGAGGGGGGCAGAAUACCACGUGUAGCAGUGAAAUGCGUAGAUAUGUGGAGGAAUACAGAUGGCGAAGGCAGCCCCCUGGGAUAACACUGACGCUCAUGCACGAAAGCGUGGGGAGCAAACAGGGUUAGAUACCCCAGUAUUGCUACCACGU